rnacentral:lncRNA from 1 species
GGAGGGAGCAUAAACAUUCCUAAAAAUAGGGUUUGGCUCUCCAAACCCCACAGCAAACUGGAAAGGGAGGGCAGGAGAGGCGGAGGGGCAGCCCGGGACUUCUGAAGAGGGUCCCUGCCGGGGCCGGGUCUUUCCCAUGUUCCUCUCCAGCUCUGAGGGUCCAGGCCUGGGUGUCUUCCCAGGGUGGGGGGAGGCCCGAGGGCAGUGUCUUGGCGUUUCUGGAUCUCAUGGCACCUUUGCAUGAAGCCUUGGGCACAGCGAGCCUGACAACAUCCAGAAGGAAGCCCUCGGCCGAGGGAGGAGGGGCCCUCGCGAUGGAGCUGCUUGUUUUCGUCUUUCAGGAACAGAUGUUUGAGCUACGAGGGCCACGAUGCACAUUUCUGCAAGCUGGAUCUCAUUUGCCUCUUCGGCUUCCAUUACGCAGCGGGGCUCCUCUCCCCCGGGGGACAUCCCGGCAGAUGGCCAGGGAGCAGCGUGGCGUGGAAGCUUCAGCAGGAGUCGGAGAACUGACCCGCCACCCCGCUGUGCAGACCCACUUGAGCCGGCCUCAGCCGAGGCAGGCCGUGGGCUCCUACGGGCCAGGCUGGAGCGCGUGUCCACUCCCUGUUGCGAGGGGAAGGGAGGACCCCUGACCACGUGGACUGGCCGUGGAGGAGAGAUGGUUUCCCCAAGAAAACGUGGGUGCGGUUGGACCUCAAGAAGGGGAAGUAGAUGCUGAGCAGAGAAACGCGAGGCUCCCCCAAACCUCGGGACCUGAUGGAGACCUCCCGGCGGCCCCGUGGGCCUCGGCGAAGCCCCCCAGGGUCCACGCUGCUCCAGGCCUUCCCGCCCUUGGCCGUGCCUCGCGGGAGCGCUGAGGACGCACGGCCACCCCACCGUGAUUUAUUCCUGGCAUCCGCGUGGCCACUUGCUGUGAGGAGCUUUGCUCUGGAACGGUCAGCUACGGGGCCAUCCGUCUUGUUGGCGGCUCCUGAUAAAACGCGCGGCCUCAGCAGACAGGGCCCGUAACGAACACGAUCAGGGCUGUUCAUUUAGAAACCAGGAGACCUUGAAAUUGGCUGUAAUUGACGGGGUGAGCAGCCAGGGGUUUGGCUGGUUUGUUCCGACCGGAGACAGCCCGCCUCUGGGAAGGUCGCGGCGACCCGCACACUGGCUGUGAGUCCUGGAUGUGCCCCCCCGUCUGGCCAUGGGCCAGCUGUGUGGCCUCUUCCAGACCCCGUCUCCUCGUCUGUGAGAGGGAGAUGCAUCGGCCAGCACCAGCUCAGCUAUGUUGCCGUAACAAACAAGCCCCAAUCUCACGGCUUCAAACAACCGACGUGCAUUUCUCACCUGCUGCGUGUCUGUGGUGGGUUGGCUGGUGGCUCGGCUCCACCCUCCUCAUUCCGGGACCCCGACUCCUGGAGCGUCUCAUCCACGCUACGAGCACCCCGUGGCCCGGGGCAAAUCCCACACUGGCUCCUACAGCUCCUGCUCAGAAGCAACUUCCCUCACUUGCGCUCACAUCUCCUUGGUCCGGGCCAGUCACACGGCCGUGCUAACUUCUUGUGGGCGUCGGGGUAGAAAAGCCCCACCACGUGACAGAUUCGUCCCUCCCCCCGCCAUGGCCACGUCCCUCUGCUGUGACCUUCCAGGGCUCCACUGGGCAUGAGCGCUCGUCAGCCCGGCGUUGGAGAGCCCUGCGUGGCACCUCACGGAUAGUCACACGCCUCGGAGAGGGCCAGCCCGCUGCGUCCCCAGGCUCCAGAACCAGGCCCACCACCCAGCAGGUGCUCAGUCAUGACUUGCUGCGACUGUGAAAUGCGUGCACAGCGUCGCCUGCCCUGGAAGACAGCAGAGGCAUGUCUCAGUGCACCGUGCCACUGCCGCCCGCCGUCAUCAC